GGAGGGGUGCAAGCGUUGUUCGGAACUACUGGGCGUAAAGCGCGCGUAGGGCGGCCUCUUAUGUCAGGGUGUGAAAGCCCUCGGCCCAACCGAGGAAGUGCGCCUGAAACUGAGAGGCUUGAGUACGAGAGAGGAGGACGGAAUUCCCAGUGUAGAGGUGAAAUUCGUAGAUAUUGGGAAGAACACCGGUGGCGAAAGCGGUUCUCUGGAUCGAUACUGACGCUAAGGCGCGAAAGCGUGGGGAGCAAACAGGAUUAGAUACCCUGGUAGUCCACGCUGUAAACGAUGGAUAUUAGUUGUUGCGGGCUUAUAAACUCGCAGUGACGACGCUAACGCAUUAAAUAUCCCGCCUGGGGACUACGGCCGCAAGGUUA
rnacentral:rRNA from 1 species